ACUGCGCUUUUGGGUUUACAUGCUGUUUACAUUCUCUUUCUUCUUUUUGUUUACUCCUGUUAUCUAGAGUUUGUUUUUUAGGUUAGAAAUUUUAUUGUCAUAUCUUCCUCUUCCUUGAUAUUUACAAAAUUAAAUUAUUUCUUCAUGAUCUCCUGGACUGAGAUUCGUAACGGAUUCGGAGGAACACACGUGUUCACAGUUUCUUUUGAUUGCGAAUAAUUUUGUCCAUAGUUUCUUGUUCUCAAUUUCGGUGUGCCUUUGCGUCGCUCAAUUUCGGAUGUGAAUUUAAGUAGAACUGUAAUGUGAAAUUAAUCAGAACCAUUAUUUUGACUCGGACGUCAAAACACUGUGAUGCCUUAUGUCGGGCCCCGAUUCAUUUGCCAACACGAUCAAUUAAUUGACCUAUGUCCUCACUGUGCCGAUCUCAAACAUCCGACAUGUAUACACAGUAACCCGGUAUUCGGAGUGACAGUUUGUGAUUCGUGCUUCCCAAACUACAAACCCUGUUUUACCAGAAGUGACCACAAAGCUGCCCAACAUUCAGUGAAAACCCAUCAUCCUGGGAUACGCGAAUAAACUUAGCCAAAAAAAAAAAAAAAAAAAAAUAAAAGGUUACAAGUGUAUUUGCUAGUACAGCAAAUGAGUGAGUGUUGAGUUUACGAAAAAAUGACAUGGAUUUCCGGUAAUCAGCUGAGUAAUUGAGUGAUAAAGUACUGUGCUUUAAGUUCGGCAAAUGAUGGAGCUUCGUUAGUUUCUCAGAAACAUAUUUGUAAGAUUGAUCGUCUACCUUACUUCAUCCUUCUUUGCAUCUCUCAGAGUAUCCGAUGGGCACUUUGGAGCAAGGUCUAAGUUUUCUAAGCCAGAGUUAAAUGCCUCAAGCUUCCAUUAACAAGUUGACUCCUACAGAGAAUAUUGAAUUCAACUCCUCAUGAGUAUCAUAUGUUAGCUUUUUGCAAGACAGGUUCUUCACAGGAAAACCUAAGUUUCUCAGAUGUUAGAAGGAACCCUUAGAAUGCUAUUCCAAAUUCAGCUUUGACCUGCCCGUGUAUCAAUGUCUAGUGAAGUUUACAUACCUAUCCAUAUUCAAGAGACGUUUGAAAUUUGUUUUGGUUUGGAACCACAGGUUAUUUUUCAUUCACUAUCUCAGGAGACACUUGUACUUUUUUCUCACAAUUAGUUUAAAUAUUGCCUCACUUUAAAGAGCAUAUUAUUAGGAAACGUACCAUAGUUUCGAGAGCUCCAAGCAAUUUUCUAAGUAUUUUUCUCUAAAUUUAUGGAGGUUUUGCUCAAGAAUUUACCUAUGUUCGCUUGGAAAGUCCCUCUAAAAAUAUGGUCAAAGAGCAAGACUAUUUUAAAUACUAAUUAUUUUGGCUUAAUAAUAGCUAAUCAAAUAAAUUAUAGUAUUCAGAUCUGCACCAAUUACAAAGCACAUUUUCACAACUUUUAUCUAACUAAAAUUAGUUCAUGUGAGACGUCUUAGUUCAACCACGGGUCAUCACCUCAAAUGAUAUGUUCAUGGAAAGUCCUGGUGUUAGGCCAAUCAAAGCAGCUCACUUUCCAUCACCCGUCUGUUGAUGCCAUUCUUGAAACAGUCAUGAUUAGAGAGUUAGCUGCAAAUUUUAUUCUUCGUUUACGUAUCCCAUGAAGAAGUUCUGUUGGUACUCACCUAUCCAUGUGGUUAAAAUUGAGUGUUUGGCUGUGAACUCAUGAAGAAAAUUCAGAAGAAGAAUAAAAAGAGAAAUUAAGGAAUUCAAAGACCAUUCAUAGUGCGUAAGCAGCCAAUUUUGGUUGAAAACGAAAAAAGUGCUCUGAUUUUCUAACACUAAAUCAAUGAAAGUGAUCCGUCCAGUGAGAUGGUAUUGUAACCAUUUGAUGGAAAAUUAAUUAAUAGAAGUGUAAAAAUUGAAGAGUGAUCAAGAAACUGAAGGAAAGUUUGCUAAAAUUUGCAAAAGGGCUUCUGAAUUUUGGUGAGUUACCUUAUUCAAGUUUUUAUUCUUUAUUGAUUACUUGUAUACCUAUACCAUUAGAAUAAAACAAAUUGACCAUUGGUAAUAAAAGUAAAUAGUAAUAAUGGGUAACAAAAUAAGUGAAGCUGAGACUCCAGGAAAAAUUAAAAAUGAGGAAAAGCAAUAAUGAAAAGAGACCAAAUGCACCACUUCAAUCAAGGGUGUAUCCUUAAUCAGGAAUUUCUUUUUAGUUGUAUCAUCCAGUUUCUCUCAGUUAAGUAGGUAAAUAACAUUUUUUGCUCCAAAGAUAGUAUCCUUGGCCACAUAACAUUGCUAUUUGGUUUAAACCACUCAAUAUUCUUAAAAAUCUUUCCCGCUAAUAUUCCUCCCUACUCAUUUCCCAAUGAUAUUUAUGUCAUUGAAGAAUAAAUAUCCUUCAACUCUCAAUGAUGAGCAUCCAAGGAUGCUUUAACAUCUUUGAAUAUCCUUGGAUAUGGUUCUUCCAAUGACAUUGAUGUCAUUGAAAAAUGAGUAUCGUUCGAUAUCUUUCAACUCUGAAGGACAUGCAUGAGGGAAUGUCGUUGAAUAUCCUUGGACGUGGUUCAUCCAAUGGCAUUUAUGUCAUUGGAAAAUAUAUGUCAUUCAACAUCUUUCAACUCUGAAGGACAUGCAUGGUAGGAUAUCAUUCAAUAUCCUGGUUGUCAUAGACCAUCCUUGGUUGUCGUUGAAAUUAUCCUAGGAUGUCGUAGACCAUCCUUGGUUGUCGUUGAAAUUUGAAGGAUAUUCUAUGACACACUUUGAGUAGGGAUGUCUAAAGUAAGAAGUCAAAUAAAAUUCUCUGUCUAUUCAUCUACUCGAAGCCUCUCCGCGCCUCAUCUCCCCGCCCCCUCUCCUACUUACCGUUUUACGAGUUAAAAGAAGUCGAAUAAAAUUCAGUCCAUCCAUUCACUCGAGAAUGCACCUUGCCGCAGACCCCUUCACCCUCUCCGUACACACCGUAUUUUGUUUUAUGCUGGAAUUCUUACUUUGGUUAAAUAGAUCAGAAUAUUUUCCCCGAAAUAUCGAGACAUAUGUCUAAGGUGAGAGUCAAAUACAAUAAUUCUCUGUAUCUACUUCAGACUUCUCCGUGCCUGAACCCCCCUCUUCCUCUUCUUACCUACCGUAUUUCGUUCCAUUCUCGAAUUCUUACUUUGGUUUAAUAGAUCAGAAUUUUUGUUUCGAAUUAUCGAGAAAGCCGUCUAAGGUGAGAAUUCUCCGUCUAUUCAUUCACUGAAGGUGCACCUCACCGCAACCCCUUACCUCCUGGCAAAAACGUAUUUUGUUCCAUGCUGGAACCAUUUAUUUUCUUAACCAUUCAUUUUCUUUUCGAAAAAUUUCAAAGUAUCCAAGGCUGUUGGUCAAAUUCAGGUUUUAUAUAGAAGAGCGAAAAAAAUCUCAGUCCAUCCACUUAUUAGAGGAUCCGCCGUGCCUUCCUUCCCCCCACUACCUGUCACCCAUUUGAGAAGUAUUUCUCUGGAUUCCCUUGAUUCUUCUAAGGAUGAGAAUUUUUCGAAGCGUCGGUAAUAUGUCCGAGGCAAAAGUAAAAGUUAGGUAUUUUGUCGAAUUGAAAAUAAAAUAAAAUCUCCCAAUUGAGACCAUUCGCCAGCUUGAAUGACGUCACCUAAAAAUGUUGCGGUAUUUAAUAUAGCAGGAAUUA
rnacentral:lncRNA from 1 species